UACGUAGGUGGCAAGCGUUGUCCGGAAUUAUUGGGCGUAAAGCGCGCGCAGGCGGUCCUUUAAGUCUGAUGUGAAAGCCCGGGGCUCAGCUCCGGAAGUGCAUCGGAAACUAGCCGGCUGGAGCGCGAUAGAGGAGGGCGGAAUUCCUGGUGUAGCGGUGAAAUGCGUAGAUAUCAGGAGGAACACCGGCGGCGAAGGCAGGUCACUGGGCCGCAACUGACGCUGAGGAGCGAAAGCAUGGGGAGCGAACAGG
rnacentral:rRNA from 1 species